rnacentral:rRNA from 1 species
AUGGUAGGAGAGCGUUCUAAGGGCGUCGAAGCAUGAUCGCAAGGACAUGUGGAGCGCUUAGAAGUGAGAAUGCCGGUGUGAGUAGCGAAAGACGGGUGAGAAUCCCGUCCACCGAUUGACUAAGGUUUCCAGAGGAAGGCUCGUCCGCUCUGGGUUAGUCGGGUCCUAAGCUGAGGCCGACAGGCGUAGGCGAUGGAUAACAGGUUGAUAUUCCUGUACCACCUAGUAUCGUUUUAAUCGAUGGGGGGACGCAGUAGGAUAGGCGAAGCGUGCUGUUGGAGUGCACGUCCAAGCAGUAAGGCUGAGUGUUAGGCAAAUCCGGCACUCAUAAGGCUGAGCUGUGAUGGGGAGAGGAAAUUGUUUCCUCGAGUCGUUGAUUUCACACUGCCGAGAAAAGCCUCUAGAUAGAUAACAGGUGCCCGUACCGCAAACCGACACAGGUAGUCAAGAUGAGAAUUCUAAGGUGAGCGAGCGAACUCUCGUUAAGGAACUCGGCAAAAUGACCCCGUAACUUCGGGAGAAGGGGUGCUCUUUAGGGUUCACGCCCAGAAGAGCCGCAGUGAAUAGGCCCAAGCGACUGUUUAUCAAAAACACAGGUCUCUGCUAAACCGUAAGGUGAUGUAUAGGGGCUGACGCCUGCCCGGUGCUGGAAGGUUAAGAGGAGUGGUUAGCUUCUGCGAAGCUACGAAUCGAAGCCCCAGUAAACGGCGGCCGUAACUAUAACGGUCCUAAGGUAGCGAAAUUCCUUGUCGGGUAAGUUCCGACCCGCACGAAAGGCGUAACGAUUUGGGCACUGUCUCAACGAGAGACUCGGUGAAAUCAUAGUACCUGUGAAGAUGCAGGUUACCCGCGACAGGACGGAAAGACCCCGUGGAGCUUUACUGUAGCCUGAUAUUGAAAUUCGGCACAGCUUGUACAGGAUAGGUAGGAGCCUUUGAAACGUGAGCGCUAGCUUACGUGGAGGCGUUGGUGGGAUACUACCCUAGCUGUGUUGGCUUUCUAACCCGCACCACUUAUCGUGGUGGGAGACAGUGUCAGGCGGGCAGUUUGACUGGGGCGGUCGCCUCCUAAAAGGUAACGGAGGCGCUCAAAGGUUCCCUCAGAAUGGUUGGAAAUCAUUCAUAGAGUGUAAAGGCAUAAGGGAGCUUGACUGCGAGACCUACAAGUCGAGCAGGGUCGAAAGACGGACUUAGUGAUCCGGUGGUUCCGCAUGGAAGGGCCAUCGCUCAACGGAUAAAAGCUACCCCGGGGAUAACAGGCUUAUCUCCCCCAAGAGUUCACAUCGACGGGGAGGUUUGGCACCUCGAUGUCGGCUCAUCGCAUCCUGGGGCUGUAGUCGGUCCCAAGGGUUGGGCUGUUCGCCCAUUAAAGCGGUACGCUAGCUGGGUUCAGAACGUCGUGAGACAGUUCGGUCCCUAUCCGUCGUGGGCGUAGGAAAUUUGAGAGGAGCUGUCCUUAGUACGAGAGGACCGGGAUGGACAUACCUCUGGUGUACCAGUUGUCGUGCCAACGGCAUAGCUGGGUAGCUAUGUAUGGACGGGAUAAGUGCUGAAAGCAUCUAAGCAUGAAGCCCCCCUCAAGAUGAGAUUUCCCAACUUCGGUUAUAAGAUCCCUCGAAGAUGACGAGGUUAAUAGGUUCGAGGUGGAAGCGUGGUGACACGUGGAGCUGACGAAUACUAAUCGAUCGAAGACUUAAUCAAUUUUUAAA